CUGCUAUAUAUGUUGUCAGUUGAUAUCUGCAAAUAACUAGAUUAAAAUCUCUCAUUGUUUAGGUGUUUUGUUCCAAGAGAACUUGGAUCAGUGAUCAGUCAUCAAAGUUGAACCGGGUGAUAUGACAGGAAAAGAAAGAUUAUUUUCUAUGAAACAGAAUCAUUUACAGUUGCUGUCUUGAAUCUUGUAAUUUGUAAAGAAGGUUAGUUUAUAAAAUGCCUUCCAGGCAAUGUGGCAUGAAAAUUAUAUAUUCUGAACAGGGCUUUAAAUUCGCGGUAUCCUGGCGAUACCAGAUUUAUUUGGAUGCUGCAAAAUCACAAGCACAGUACCCCGAAGGAUACUAAAAAAAGUCUGUCCACAGCUGAUAUUUCUUGUCUAAUUCUUGACAAAAUACCAUCAAACAAUAAUAUAAACAAAGGCAACUGAAUUCAAUUUGACUGAGCAAGAAAGACACACUCAAAAAAGUGCCAAAGCCAAGCAAAGUAUGAAGAAACAAAAAUUUAGAAGGCUUGAAAAAAUCCUUUCCAUGGGUAAUGCUCGUGAACGAAAAGAUGUUUUGCAAAUGUGGGGUAGUAGAUUUUCUCGAUGGAUAUCAGAUUUUAAGUUGCUAUAGUAUCCUGUUGGAUACUGCUGAAAAAUUCAAAUUUGAAGUCCUGCUGAAUAAUAUGUUUUAUCCCUUGGGGGAAUUAAUCCAAUCUAAGCCAAUAAACGCAGAAGCCCUGUGUCCAUGAACAUUUUUUAUCAGUCGCACAUAAUUGUUUUGAUGAUAGAAAUGGUUAUAGACAAUGUUCAGAAAGUUUGGAUUAAUAAUUCCUGGCUUUUUUUAAUUUAAAAAAUUCCUGUGGUCUCCCUUUGCUGAGCACAGGUUGCCACUUGCCUGUGGUUGCCUAUUUGCAAAAUGUUUUAAAACAUGUUUUUAUCACUUGAAAGUGAUUGUUGAAAUCUGUUUCAAUGUUAAACAUUAACAGAUUUUCAUAACAGGCUAAAAAACAGCAAAAAAGUGGGGCUAUAGCCUUCUUUUCGUCCAUUUUGACAAUUUUUUCUGCCAGAUAAUGCGAUGAAGUAUGGUUUUUGAACCAAACUAUAGUUUGACCUUUUUUAAUCUUGAAAUUGAUGGAAAUGUGAGAGAAAUUGAAUUAAUAAUCUGAGUAUCGAAGUUCAAUAGAGUCAUUUUUAUAGAGAAAUGUUGCAAUUAGGAGGAUAUUUAUAAUUAGAUAGCUCGUAUCCAUUGAUAUUUGUUUGCAAUUCCUCAAUAUUUUUCGAUGCAAAUGGACAGAAGAUAUUGAUAUUGAAUUCACCACAGGAUACUCAAGUACGCCUGAAAAUGAAAGUCUAAAAAAUGUUUUAACACCCUCUAGGGUGAUUGAAUUUCGCUAUAUAUGAUGCCAUAUUGGUUGCAUUAACUUGCAAAGGCUUCCUUUAUUUAGCUCUUCCCAUCACUCCUUGCAUGCUCACUUUUCCCUCCCUAAAAACGUCAUGUAAGCCUCUGUGGAGGAGAGAGGGGAAAAACGACAAAAAAAUAAGGCUAUUGUAGCCUUUACUUUUCAUCGAUUUUCACAACUUUUUUCAUUAAGGCCUGUGAUCCCCCCUUUGCAUUUGACCCAAAGUUUGGAAUGGCUUGGGGCAGUUUUGGGAAAAUUUCCAGUUGUCCCCCCAGGCCCUUUGUUGAUCCUGGGGUUGCCUGUGUUCCCCUCCUUGCAUUUGACCCAACGAUGUUUUUAUGAGUCGGAAGUGAUCGUUUUGAUUAGAGAAAUGUUUCUCAACAAUUUUCAGAAAGUUUGGUGUGAGUUGGGCCUCUUGAAUUUUUCCUGUGAUCGCCAUUUGUUGACCGUAGGGUUGCCUAUGAUCCCCCCUUUGCAUUUGACCCAAAGUUUUUGAAACAAGUUUUUCUAAGUCGAAGGUGAUCGUUUUGAUGAGAGAAAGAAAGUUUUGUGAGUUGGGGGAUCUUUAUGAAUUUUUAAAAAAUUUCCUGUAGUACUCUCAUUUUUAACCCAUCGAGUCUCAUUGUGCCCAGAUGCUCUCUGCUUUACUCUGUCUAACCACGGUUAAUAGAACUAGAUCUAUUAACCGUGGUCUAACUCCAGAAGAUUUUACUCGUCAAGGGGAGAGCGCUGGCGCUUAAUGGUUAACUGGCCUAUCUGCCCAUGGGUGUAUAUAACCAUUGAGUCGCAUAGAAUAGAAGAAUAAUUUAUUUAAUGUCGAAUGACACAGAGUGUGGUUGCCCAAUCACUCGAGCCAGGGGCUCAUGAUAGAAGUGUUCGAUGCGCCCGAUUGUGCCCAGAUGCGCCCUGCUUUGUUAUUUUACUCUGUCUAACGCCAGACGAUUUUACUCAUCAAGGGGAGAGUGCUGGCGCUUAAUGGGUUAAACACAAAAGUGUGAAUUUUCUUUGGUUGCCUAUGAUCCCCCCUUUGCAUUUGACCCAAAGUUUUUUAAACAAGUUUUUCUAAGUUGAAGGUGAUUGUUUUGAUGAGAGAAAGAAAGUUUUGUGAGUUGGGGGAUCUUUAUGAAUUUUUAAAAAAUUCCUGUGGUACUCCCAUUUUUAAAAACAAAAAUAUGAAUUUUUCUGUUGCAUCCUUCGUCUGGUAUCAGUUAGAUAAGAUAUGUUGUCAGUUGAUAUGUGCAAAUAACUAGAUUAAUAUCUUUCAUUGUUUAGAUAUUUUGUUCCAAGAGAAUUUGGAUCAGUGAGCAGUCCUCAAUGUUGAACCGGAUUACAUGACAGGAAAAGAAAGAUUAUUUUAUACCAAACAGAAUCAUCUACAGUCGCUGUCUUGAAUCAUAUAAAAUAAGGUUAGUUUAUAAAAUGCCUUCCAGGCAAUGUGGCAUGAAAAUUUUAAAUUCUGAAUAAUAUGUUAUCCCUUGGGGAAUUCAUCCAAUCUAAGCCAAUAAAUGCAAAGCCCUAUGUCAGUGAGCAUUUUUUAUCAGUUGAAAGUAAUUGUUUUGAUGAGAGAAAUAAAUGCUUAUCGACAAUUUUCAGAAAGUUUGGAAUAAUAGUUCCGGGCCUUUUUUAUUUAAAAAAUUCCUGUGCUCUCCCUUUCUUGAGCACAGAUUGCCACUUGCCUGUGGUUGCCCGCUUUGCAAAAUGUUUUAAAACGUGUUUUUAUCAAUUGAAAGUGAUUGUUUUGAUGAGAAAAUGUGUCUCAAUGUUUACUUUUUGUCCAUUUUGACGUAAAGCAACAGAAAACAACAAAAAAGCAAGGCUAUUUUGAUUGACAAUUUUUCAUCGCUAGCUUUUGAAAAAAAAAGAAAGAAAUUAAAGAAAUCACUUCAACAGAAGAACAAAGUGAUUUAAAACGAAAAACUAAAAAAAAAAGAAAUUGAAGAAAUCACUUCAACAGAAGCACAAAGUGAUUUAAAACGAAAAACUAAAAAAAAAAGAAAGAAAUUGAAGAAAUCACUUCAACAGAAGAACGAACUUUAAAACGAACAACUACAAUGCUUGAAACAGAUAAGACGACUUUUUCAUAACUGGGCAGAAAACAGCAAAUAAGUAAGGUUAUUGCCUUAAGUUUUCGUCGAUUUUAACGACUUUUUUUCGUAAAGGGACAAAAACAGCAAAAAAGCAAUUAAAAAGGACAAACAACAGCAAAAAGCAAUUUUUACAACAUUUUUCAUUUUCCGUAAAGAGACAAAAAGGGGAAAAAAGUUAAGGCCCUUAACUUUUCGUCCAUUUUUGGCGACUUUUUUCAUUUUUCAUAAGUGGGAAAAAAACAGCAAAAAAGCAAGGCUAUAGCCUUCGUCCAUUUUUAGCGACUUUUUUCAUUUUUCAUAAGUGGGCAAAAAACAGCAAAAAAGUAAGGCUAUACAGCCUUAACUUUUCGUCAAUUUUUAGCGAUUUUUUUCAUUUUUUAUAACUGGCCAAAAAACAGCAAAAAAGUAAGGCUAUACCCUUUACUUUUCGUCCAUUUUUAGCGACUUUUUCCAUUUUUCAUAAGUGGGCAUAAAACAG
rnacentral:lncRNA from 1 species